rnacentral:lncRNA from 1 species
AACUCUCUCUUACUCUCCUUCUCCGACGAUGGCGGCGGCGGCACCGCUCCUCCUUUCCAUCUUCUUUCAUCCUCUUUCUUUCCCUUCUCCUCUCUUCUCUUCACCAGCGGUGGCCGCAGCAUCGCCGUUCUUCUUCCCCCCUUUUUUCGUUUUUCUUCUCUUCCUUUCUUUCUCCGAUUUCUUCUUUUUCUCCGUUUUCUCCUUCUUUCCUCCUUUGUCUUCUCCUUCUCUUCUUUUUUAUUUGUCGUCGUCGCUCUUUCUUUCGUUUUUUUUUCUCUAUCCUACUUUUCUCCUUUUCCUCCCUCUUGUUUAUCCCCUUUCUGUCCUGCGCUCAUCACUCUUUGCGGCGUCCCAACCACCUCUCCCUCAACAGCAAUGAAGAAAAAAAUUAUGUAAAAAUUCAAAUCUGUCUCCCUCUAUUUUAUUUUCUUAAUUUUAGCCGGAUCUGGACUUGCAUGUCUUCGGAUGAUGCCUCCGGCGAGUCCUCCAACGACAUGCAAACCCCGAUCUAAAAAUCUAGAGUUUAAAUAUUGUUUACAUAGCUUUUUGUGAUUCCUAUGGUUUGGUUUUGUUUUUUUCUUGGGAAUCGACAGAGAGGGAGGUGACUAAGUAGAGACGAAGAAGAAAGGCAAAAAAGAAUAAAAAAUCGUCGUAGACGACGGAUCUGCCGGCCUGAGAAGAGGUGGCCGGGAAAGGGAAAAAAACCUCAGCUUUUAUUUAUUCUGAUUUUGCUUGGUAGAUGGUGAAUUUCGCGUUGAUGAGGUCACUUAAAAUAUAUAAAAGAAACUUGACUAUUUUGUUGCUAAAAUGAACUUAGUGAUAUAAACACCCUAAAAUCUAUCAUUUUGCUUGAAAAUUUGAUUAUUUUGUCAUCUUGAAUAAAAUUCCACCAAUGAUGUUGAACAGAAAACACUCAUUUUAGCUCGAUUUUAGCACUAUGUUGUGAGUAGCUUUACAGUUCUUGAGUCCUUGGUGCAAAUGGUGUAAAAUGAUGAUAGAUGGUAUUUUAGUCUCUUGUUAAUAUAUCUUCGAGCAGGUUUUAUUUGUUUUAGGAUGUUUAUUUUACUGUUUAGUCCAUUGUUUGUUAAAAUGAAUCAACUUUCCUCUUAGUUGUAAGGAAAACUAGAUUAGGAGAGGCUUUAAAUGACAUAGCAUCACAGAAAAAUCCAAAGCAUGAGUUGAGAAUAUGAAUGAUAUGUGAAUGAUCAAAAAGAGGGAUGUUUGUGAAUGGUAUCAAGGCUUUUUGUCGUGUUUCAGGUGGCGGUGCCCUUCCUCGUCUCCUAACUUUUGGGACGAAUCCUCGUUUGGCGGCUUCUACGUGGGUGACAGCCGCAGACAUUUGUAAUUUUUAUCUUUAGUGUUUUGUAAUAUUUAUAUUUGGGACUUUGUGGGUUGAGGGUGUUUGUAAUGUUUUGGGAUUGGGAAAGUAUUCUGGGGAUUUUAAUUUCUGCAUCCAAACUUCUACCUUAUACUCUCUGUCGUCUCUUUUGUGGUCUUGCUAGCUUUUGAAAUGAAAAGGGUUGCCACCUCCCUUGUCUUCCAAACGAAGGGAGCUGGCUGGUCGCUGAAACACAAAAGCAUCG